rnacentral:rRNA from 1 species
GAUGAACGCUGGCGGCGUGCCUAAUACAUGCAAGUCGAGCGAACAGACGAGGAGCUUGCUCCUCUGAUGUUAGCGGCGGACGGGUGAGUAACACGUGGAUAACCUACCUAUAAGACUGGGAUAACUUCGGGAAACCGGAGCUAAUACCGGAUAACAUCUUGAACCGCAUGGUUCAACAGUGAAAGACGGUCUUGCUGUCACUUAUAGAUGGAUCCGCGCCGCAUUAGCUAGUUGGUAAGGUAACGGCUUACCAAGGCAACGAGGCGUAGCCGACCUGAGAGGGUGGUAGGCCACACUGGAACGGGGACGGGGUCCAGACUCCUGCGGGAGGCAGCAGUAGGGAAUCUGACGCAGUGGGGGAAAGCCUGACGGAGCAACGCCGCGUGAGUGAAGAAGGUCUUCGGAUCGUAAAACUCUGUUAUUAGGGAAGAACAAAUGUGUAAGUAACUAUGCACGUAUUGACGGUAACUAAUAAGAAAGCCACGGCUAACUACGUG